CCCAAUUAAAGCCGUCCAAUAUUAAAAUUACAGUACUGCGAGUACAAAGGACUGACGUAUAAUACGUCAUUACAGUGUUUUAAAACACAUGUAAUUAUUAUAUUAUUAACCUUCUAUAUUCAUCCCUUCUAGCACUAUCCAAUCUGAUAUAAGUACGUUCAUCUUAAACUUGUCUGCUCUCUUAACCAACGGUGUAUGGUCCGAGAAUUCAUUGAAAUCAGCAACUGUAAAAUCGUUAAUGUAAAAAAGUUUUCUUGCCUACAUAAUGAUAAUGUUCAGGUGAUCGAUCACGCUGCUACCGCGUUCACAACAAAAUGGGUUCUAACAUACCGUUAUAUAUCGGUAUUCCAGUGCUUUUGCAGGGAUCAUGUAAUUGUAGUCCGUGCGAAUAACUGACCGAGUCAUUCGACACGCGUUUUAACGGGACGUCUUGCACAUAUGAAUCGCCAUUUCACCACGACAUAGGGCUAUAUUCAUAGACAAUACUCCAACACCACUCAUUGAGUACACUCAAAUAAAUUGCCUAACAGUCACGUCUUUACUCAGGAAAGAUUCCAUUUGUAUUCAUAAAGGUGAGUGACAGUCGAGUCAACUCCCAAGAGUGAGUGACUGUUGAGGGAGGUCCUGGGGACCCUUGAGUGUUUCUCAAGGUCUCAUAAUGUAAGUUUAGAUGAUUAAUUUACAAUAUUUAAUUAAUUUGAAGGUAAGAUAACAGUGUCAUGUUAAAAUGGAAGUUCAUAUUUGUGCAAGGUAUUUUGGAAAAAUAUAUUAUGUUCUUUUUUAAUACAUGUUGUUGAGGACGACGAAAACGCAAGAACCCAACAAAUUAAAAGACUGUUUAAUUAAUAGAAAUGGAUAUAGGAAAUCAAAUCUACAUCUACGAAACCUAGCCUAACGCGGCUCAUCAAUCACUCCCAGAAACACGCGUCGUAGUAACAAAUAUUUACAUUUCACAAGCCUAGAUAUCGGUUAAUAAAUACUAAAAAAUAUAAACAAUCCGUCAAAUUCAAUGUCACGAAGAACCUAUCAUUAUUAAAUCUCAUUGUUUAAAUGACAACGGAAACAUUUAUUUAGUAAAAAGAUAUGAGCCGUGACAUUAGAAAACCAACAUAUUGCGUUUGCAGUCUGGUCAAGAUCCAUGCUGUUCGCUUUCAAAGCUUAUUGCAAUUAGAGAAACUAUUAGCGAACAGUAUGGAUUAUGACCAGACUGCGCCGAAACGCAGGUUGGUCUGGAUCCAUGCUGGUCGCAAACGCACUUUGUUGGUUUUCUCAUGGUGCGGCUCAAUUGUGUUUUUAGUAAUAGAAAAUUAAAAAAAAUACGCGGGCUGGCAGUCGAGAAACACCAACAACUAAUGGCAGAGUUAAGAAUUCAGUUGUUUAAAUAAAUUUCAAUUUCAGCGAAAAAUAAACUCUAUAUUUCUAAGUAUGAAUUAAAUUCUACUAAUGCAGAUGAGUAGACUGGCUGAUGGACGGACGAACGGACGGAAGGACGUAUUAUAAAACAAGUAGACGAACGGACUGACGGAUAAACAUACAGAAGAGCAAUAAAAUGACAACUUCCAACUACAAAAGUAAUGAUCAGUACUUUCGCAUAUCUUUGAUGUUAUUUUCAUAUAAACCGUUAUAGCGAGCGCGUAGAUCGCCUUACGGCAAUGUGUAGGCGAAUAUAACAAAGGUGUGCCGAAUGGGGCAAAGUGAUGUAGCUGAAAAAUUUUCCUCUCGUCUUGGCGCCGCCAUUUUGGGUGCCGCCAUUUUGUUCUACUUCCGUCAAAGUCGGGAAAAUUGUUUUGUUUUUUUUAAUUUUAUAUUCGAGUUACAAUCUCUAUGUUUAUUAGGUGCCUUUAUUUUUAAAAAAAGUUAUGUUAUGUAGGCAUAGUACUAGAGCCGAUUUACGCAAUCGAAUACCGCCGGAAGUAGAACAUUUAUGUUAACACCGGUUUCGUAUUUUCACGUGAAAACGGCCGAAGACUGAGAGGUUAUCAACAAAUUAUAAGUUUACGGGUACCAUGAGGAUUUUUCAUGCAUUUAAACGAAAGAAGUACAAGCGAACAGAUGACACAUUAAAGUGGCUGCAGAAGCUUGAAAAGUUUGAUAGAGCAGGGGCAGUCAAAACAGUGGGAUACUACUUCUAUGGUGUCCAACAUGUCUAGUCAGGUGGACAGAAGUGAAAGAUGGUCUGAUGGUACAAUGAUGUACAAAUGAUACUCUUUAACAAGUUUAACAUGUCAAGGUGUAAAAUGUUCUGUGGAUUCAUAUGAUGAGAAUGCCAGUGUUGACCUGUAUGACUUAAUUAAACACAGAUAUUGAUACCUUCAGAUAUAUACCUGUGAAAUCUUCAGUGUCACCGUUCAGCUGUUGUUCAAGAUCAGUGUCUGCAGCUUGCACAGUUUAGUAUAGAGGAGCCUCCUGAAUCAACUUUGUUACAUAUUUGCUGUUAUUGUACGACACACAUGUAGAGAACAGCAAGUCCUGUCCAGCGGUGCAUGUAAAUGUGAUUCAGAAACUUUGAGAAUAUGUAAACAUUACACUGUUAUAAUGUUCAAAAUACUGUCUUGUAGUGUAUCAGUACUGUUUUGUCUCAGUUUAUAGCACAGUAUGUUCACAAAUCAAACUUAAGACCAUAGUGAUCAGUAUUAUUAAAAUCAUUAAUGAUUUGUAUGGUGACAAAAUUUAAUUUCAUGCAAUACCACAGUAAAACGUUUGAUAAUUUUUGCUUUUAAAGUUGUAAGUUUAAGGUUGGCAUAAAUUGUUUUUUUUUUCUUUCAUAAAUCUAAAAAGUGAUUGGUCAUUAUAACUGCAAUAUCAUUUUAGUAUGACAAAGUUUAUAUUGAACUAAAACACUAAUGUAAAUUUUUGAACUAAUCAAUGCAUUUUCUUCAGUCUUAAAACAUUUGUUUAUCGUAUGUGUCAUGGCCCAUAACUCCUCCAUAUUACUUGUGUUUUGUCCUUUUUCAUUUCACUGAAGAGUAGGUAGAGGUAUUGCACAUCCAUUUUUUAGCAUCCUGAUUUUGUAAAGUGUUGUAUGUAAGGUUUUAUCUCGGAAUUAUGUCUCAUCUAAAGGUGGAGAGAGGUAUUAAUUAUGCCUUCUCGUCUAUCCGCAUUAAGCCUGUCUGGCUUUAAGAGGACAAGCUGCUGGCCAGAUUUUGAUGAAACUUCACAGGACUGAUCAGUACCAAGCAUAGUGUUGUGCAUAUCGCUUGCAUGUUUCGUUUUGAUGCACUAAAUUGCAGCCAGAGCUAAAAAUAGAAAAAUCUUAUCGGCUUUAACAGGUUAAAACUACUUAACAGAUUUUGAUGAAACUUCACGAGUGAUCAGUACCAAGUAUAUUUUUGCAUAUCACUGACACUUUCCAUUUUGCUGCACAAAAUAGCCGCCACAGCUAAAGGUAUACAUAGAUUGGAGACAUGUUUUGUCAUAA